rnacentral:rRNA from 1 species
GACGAACGCUGGCGGCGUGCUUAACACAUGCAAGUCGAACGGAAAGGCCCCUUCGGGGUUACUCGAGUGGCGAACGGUUGAGUAACACGUGAGUAACCUGCCCUUGACUUCUGGAUAACUUCGGUAAACUGGGGCUACUACCGGAUAGGAAUCCUUGCUGCAUCGUGGGGGUUGGAAAGCUUCUGCGGUUUUGCAGGGACUCGCGGCUUAUCAGCUUGUUGGUGGGGUAGUGGCUUACCAAGGCUUUCACGGGUAGCCGGACUGAGAGGGCGACCGGCCGCAUUGGGACUGAGAUGCGGCCCAGGCUCCUACGGGAGGCAGCAGUGGGGAAUCUUGCUCCAUGGGCGGCAGCCUGAUGCAGCAGCGCCGCGUGCGGGAUGACGGCCUUCGGGUUGUAAACCGCUUUCAGCAGGGGCGAAGCUUGUGGUGACGGUACCUGCAGAAGAAGCACCGGCUAACUACGUG